AAGCAUAAGAGAUUUUUCCCUUUUCUUACUUUCAAGGUAAGUAUUUUGUAUAAAUUAUUAAGCU
rnacentral:tRNA from 1 species